rnacentral:rRNA from 1 species
GACGAACGCUGGCGGCGUGCCUAAUACAUGCAAGUCGAACGCAGUGGGGACGGGUGAGUAACACCUGGGUAACCUCCCAUCAGAGGGGAUAACACUUGGAUACAGGUGCUAAACCGAUACUGAUGUAUGGACCCGCUGUGCAGUAGCCACGGGGUGAGGUAACGGCUCACCAAGGCCACGAUGCAUAGCCGGCCUGAGAGGGUGAUCGGCCACACUGGGACGGAGACACGGCCCAGACUCCUACGUGAGGGAGCAGUAGGGAAUAGUCGGCAAUGGACGAAAGUCUGACCGAGCCACGCCGCGUGGGUGAAGAAGGUUUUCGGAUCGUAAAGCUCUGUUGUUGGAGAAGCGGUAUCUAAAGAGGAAGCACCGGCUAACUACGUGCCAGCAGCCGCGGUAAUUC